rnacentral:rRNA from 1 species
AUGGGAGCUUGCUCCCUGAUGUCAGCGGCGGACGGGUGAGUAACACGUGGGUAACCUGCCUGUAAGACUGGGAUAACUCCGGGAAACCGGGGCUAAUACCGGAUAUGCUUUUUCCUCCGCAUGGAGGAAGACGGAAAGGCGGCUUUUAGCUGUCACUUACAGAUGGACCCGCGGCGCAUUAGCUAGUUGGUGAGGUAACGGCUCACCAAGGCGACGAUGCGUAGCCGACCUGAGAGGGUGAUCGGCCACACUGGGACUGAGACACGGCCCAGACUCCUACGGGAGGCAGCAGUAGGGAAUCUUCCGCAAUGGACGAAAGUCUGACGGAGCAACGCCGCGUGAGUGAAGAAGGUUUUCGGAUCGUAAAGCUCUGUUGUCAGGGAAGAACAAGUACGGGAGUAACUGUCCGUACCUUGACGGUACCUGACCAGAAAGCCACGGCUAACUACGUGCCAGCAGCCGCGGUAAUACGUAGGUGGCAAGCGUUGUCCGGAAUUAUUGGGCGUAAAGCGCGCGCAGGCGGCUUCUUAAGUCUGAUGUGAAAGCCCACGGCUCAACCGUGGAGGGUCAUUGGAAACUGGGAGGCUUGAGUGCAGAAGAGGAGAGCGGAAUUCCACGUGUAGCGGUGAAAUGCGUAGAGAUGUGGAGGAACACCAGUGGCGAAGGCGGCUCUCUGGUCUGUAACUGACGCUGAGGCGCGAAAGCGUGGGGAGCGAACAGGAUUAGAUACCCUGGUAGUCCACGCCGUAAACGAUGAGUGCUAAGUGUUGGAGGGUUUCCGCCCUUCAGUGCUGCAGCUA